rnacentral:rRNA from 1 species
GUGCCAGCAGCCGCGGUAAUACGUAGGUGGCAAGCGUUGUCCGGAAUUAUUGGGCGUAAAGCGCUCGCAGGCGGUCAUUUAAGUCUGAUGUGAAAGCCCACGGCUCAACCGUGGAGGGUCAUUGGAAACUGGGGGACUUGAGUGCAGAAGAGGAGAGUGGAAUUCCACGUGUAGCGGUGAAAUGCGUAGAGAUGUGGAGGAACACCAGUGGCGAAGGCGACUCUCUGGUCUGUAACUGACGCUGAGGAGCGAAAGCGUGGGGAGCGAACAGGAUUAGAUACCCUGGUAGUCC